GACUCCGGACGUAGGACCUGUCUUUAUCAGGAGCGUAGCGAACAGCCGUCAACUACUUGAUAGUUAUCCUAUCUUUCUCCUACGCGGAAUCCAGAAUAGACCCGUCAGUAUCCGGACCAUAAACUCAAACAAGAAUCAAACUAUGUGAAUUUCUGGGAUAGGAGUUCUUCUUUCAUUGCAAUUUCCCGGCUUUUUUGCUUCUAAAUAGGACUUUUUCUCAUCUUGAUAUUCUACGAUAAUUGUCUAAUUUUGACUGAUUUUUUGUCUUUUCUUGCUACUUCCCUAUGGGCAAAACCUAGCAAAAUCAUGUAUUUCCCUCCGUAAAAACAAGGUGAUUCAAUCCUAAUUAUUCUUUCAUUCGAGUUAAUGAGUGAAUUAUUCUUUUCUUUGAUUGACUUUUCCGCAAGAUUCUUUGCGCCUUUUCCUUUUGGAUGAAUUUGAAUCUCUCGUCUGAAGACUCUCGUCUGAAGACAUGAAAGACGAUUUCUUUCUAUUCUCAUAUUUUUCUGAUUCUAUGAGAAGGUCAAUCGGUAAAGAGGAAUAUCAUAACUAAUGAGUCACUAGCUAGCCCUUUAAUCUCACUAUUUCCUCUGCGAGAAGAGCGGCUUUCUAUCUAACCUCUGACAAUCCCCGAACCCCGCUCCGCUUCUUUGCGCUCCGUGGGCCUCUUUCUUUAGACAUCUGUGGGAGGAUUAAAGGAUGAGAGAUCCACGAUCCUGGUGAUAUGAUAGCAGAAUAUACCUACCAUCUAUUCAAGUUACCACGUCCCUUGAUUCAUUCCUUCAACCCGGGGCCCCUCGUAAACUCACUUUUUCUAUUCAAAGCGGUGGGCCUGCGAUCCUAAGCGGAAAUCUUCGUCAAUAUUCUUUGAGCCUCUUGUUGACUUUCCGAUGUGAGCAUGAGAAUGGGGAAUGAAUGAAAUGAGAUUGAUGAGUGAAUUAAGAAGGAGAAGACCAAAGGCGAGAGCCACGGCCUGGUCUGAAACCGGCCGGAAGAAGGAGAAGAAAAAGCAUGUACAGCAGCGCGGACUCUCUUCAAUCAACUCGUAUUAUUCCAUUCCCGAAGGCUUUCUUCCUCCCUCUCGAUCCUAUACCCCAUUCCUAAUAGAACCCCGAUAUGAAACUACGAGGACACACCCGACUGGGCCAUAUGGCCAAUUAUUUUCAGAAGAAAGCAAAGCCAAAGAGACCUGCUUUUAAUGCUCGACGUCGACACGGAGGGCGUACUUGAGUACUGGACGAACAAACUAUAUAACUACCCCUUUUUAGUGCGCGAAGCCGAAGCCUCCGAAACUGAGAUAGAGGGCGAGAUUUUCCUAGGAUUUCCUCAUGAGCAUGACCCUUACUUGCAAGAAUCCACGAUAGACUAAUCAUUUUUGGAAUAUUUCCUCUUGCAGUUGAUUUGAUUUUCCGGUUCAAAAAUCAUGUAUAUUAUCAAUCCGACAUCUUGAUCGAUUUAAUCCCACAUCUGGAUCUCUUAAUCGAUCUGUCUUAAUCGAUUUCAUCCUAUACUUCUUGUUAGGUACCCCAUAUUAGCGGUAGCUGUAACCUCUUUCCUAAUCGAUUUGUUCUCUCUCUUAAUCGAUCUAGCUGUCUCUUUCCUAAUCGAUCUGUCCUAAUCGAUCUGUCUUAUCUUUCCUACUCCCUUGUUAAUCGAGAAAGCUAUGUAUGCUUUAUCUCCUUUCUUAAUCGAUUGUAUUUAUCUUAAUGGAUCUCUUUCUCCCUAAUCGAUCUGUCUUCUCAUAUUACCGCAAUAUUCUUUGCGCCUUUCUUUCUUUAAAAAGAGAAUUAUCUUACUUAAUGGAAUUCUCUGAAUCGCUUGUACUGGGGACGCUCAGAGGAGAGGAAAGGAAGAAAGAAGCUAGCUAUCGGAAACGAAAGAAUUCUUAGGACUGAUUUAUGAACAGACAGAAUUCUAUUGAUUUAGCGCCACGCUGGCCUCUUUAUGUGACUCAUUCCGAUACGGGAAGGAUCGCCUAUAGGCUCUCUCUCAUAUCUACCCGAGACAGUUGUUCCACUCCGGCUACCCUCAAGAGCGGCUUAGCACCGCAGAGUGGGAAGGGGAGCGGCUUAUCGCACCUUGUUUUCUCUUUCUUUAGCAGCUUUCGUCAUAGGCUUUCUUCUAAAUAGUAGUUUGAAGCCUAUCCUUUCUUCUUUUCGUACUUCAUCGAUCUUUCUUCUUAUGGCUUUCAUAAGUAGUAGUUUCAUAAAGAGCGAUGGGCGAAUACCUGAGACAGGAUAGACGAGAGAUACCCUUUGAACCUCAGAUGGCCCUUUCUUCCGAUUUUGCUUGAAAAGAUGUGAAUGAAUGUCAACCUUUGAAUGUGAUUCGAAUGAAAGCAAGGCUUUGGGCAAUUCAAAGACUUUCAGAUAAAUAGGCCUCGCUAGCUAGAGGUUCAAGGGCUUUCUACUAAACUCAGGCAAGAGCAACUUCAGCAAGAACUUCUGAAAGGCAUCAAAAUUCCAUUCUCCUUUCAGUUGAUCCUAUUCCAAAGACGCUUCGGGUCGAGAUUCGUCAACUCGGCUGGUGGUCUGUGACGCUUUCUUUCUUCCUCAACUGAGGAAUGCUACACAGAAUUCCUAUCUUCAGGGGACUCUAUCUUUGUUCUUGUCCCACGCGGACCUCGCUUCGUACUGGGAAUCUUGUCUCAUAUACUUUGAAUAAUAAAGAAGACGAGGGCUAGCAACUUCCCUUGAAGCAGCAACUUCCACUGCGCCUCCUUCCUCUUCCGAAACCUCUCACAGCUUUCGCUUCGCUAGGCUUGAUUUUGAGUGGAAUUGGAAUUCAAAUCAGUGGAAAGCGACAGCUUUUAUGUCCUUAGAUUCAACUACGGAGGAUGAGUAGGAGCAGUCUGAUCUUCUUCUUCCCGCUCCCUCCUCAGGCGCAAAGAAUCUUGCCUUUUCCGUCAUAUUAGCUUUCCAUUUGAAUUCCACUCAAAGUUGCAGGCGAAGGCGCAAUGAAAUAUGCGUGGAACUCAAUCUUGCUUGUUAUGGGACUGAUUUAUGGAACUGAAGCUGGUCGAGCCUAAUCCUCUUGGGCGAGACUCCUAUUGAUUGAGAUCCGUGCCUGCCUUUCGAUCCUUCCCCCUACUCUUAUGGCUUUCCGUUAGCGCUUGAGGUCCUUAGUGAGGUCUAAGCAAGAGAAGAAAGAAUGAACUAUAUCAUCCCCUGGAAAAGGUGCUCAGCCACUCUACGUUGAGGAAGAAAGGAGAGGAUCAAAGAAUUUGAGACUGAAAGGAGAGGAGUUAGGUGAGACCAUAGGGAAGAGGACAAAUCGGUGAGGCCAAAGGCCCACGUAGCGGUUGUGUCCGCUUGAACCAGUAGCUUUUUGUAGAAGAAGUUGCUUCUUUUUCUGCUAUCUGCCCAUGUGUAAUGAGAUACCCUUUUUCAAGGUGAAAGCGACCGGAUAAAUCGCAUGAUUCAGUACUCAAAUAGAGAGAAGGCAGAUUGUCCCCACUUCCAUCCACCAUUCGUCCAACUAGUCCUAGGCGGGUGGUUAGGAAGCAGAACACUGUUUAGGAAGCAAGUCUUGUAGGGGUAGAGACCCAUGCGAGAUCCACACCCGUGAAGGAAAGAAGGGCGAAUCAGGUUCCAUCCACAGCUCGAGAAAAGGAAGAGACCACCCACCGGGCAGUCCGAGGUUGAAGUUAGUCUUCUGGCUGGAAAUAAAGAAGGGGCUUGACCGAGUGAAAGAGGGCAUAAGUCUCACUGAGUCAAACCCGCAUGAAAAGAGUUCAAAAAAAUCUGGUCGAUUCCCUAUUCCGGACUCAUCUUCCUCCUUUAUUUACUACCUCUCUCUUCCUUCGGAACCUGCUCGACCCCCACGGAUAAGAUAAUUACUGAAAAAGAAAUAAGUAGCAUUCUUCUUUCGACUCCUUUUCAUCCUUGUUCAUAGGAUUUCGAAAUCAUAAAUACGAAAGAAUGAAUCGGAUAUUGGCGGUGCGUGCGCAUUUUGAUAUAGCUUCCGUGUUCUCAGCCUAAGGCGAGGCUCGACUGAAAGGAGAGUGAGAGCUUCUCGAAACUAAGCUACUGCAGCAAGAACGUCUGCCUACCUGCCUGCUGGUCUCGCCUUUGAAAAAGAGUUCUCUCAUAGUGAGAGUGAAAAGAAGAGUAGGAGUUAGAGACAAAUAAGGAUGCCUUGGUCCGUCUUCUUGCGCGUCCAGCGCAGCCUUCUCGUUCAGCAUUCUUCCUAAUCUCCUCUAAAUAGGGAAUCGAAUUUCAUCUAAAAGAUUAUGACAUGCCAAACCCCAAACUCAGAGUAUAAUGGAAGAAAUCUAUUCCAUGAUCAGACGGAGUGGCCCUAAACGGGGUUCAAGGCCCUUGAUUGGGAUUCACCUGCUCUGCUGCCAACCACACCUGGAAAUGGUGUGAUAGGUUCAAAGAAUAUUGACGCCCACGAGGCGUAAUAAGGGCCUCAAUGAACAAGAGGUUGACCACACAUGAAGGUCAGAAAAUGUUUCACCAUCUACUACGGUUGAAGAGAAAAGAGAUUGAAACCUAGUGUGAGGUCGACGAUCGAUUUGGCCAUGACGGGACCCGCGGCCAUCAUACUUUGAAUAAUUUGAAUAGGCCACCGAUUGCUUGCACUCUUGAAAGGCAGUCCUUUAAUGGGGAAUCAGUCUGGUGAUAGGGCCCAUUUGCUUAAAGGUUCCAUCCAUUGGGAUAGACCGCAGAAGGUCCAUUGCCCAAGGGUGGACCGGGAACAAGAGUCGUUGUCUAAGAUAGUUACCUAUGGCAAAGAUAGGACGUUUUCCCGCGCCUUCGAAGGUUUGGGCAAGUCUACCUCGUUCAGGUAUAUUAGUUGGAUUAUUACCGAGGGGGUCUCUGAUCAUCCCUAAGGAAAGACUCUCAACUAGGACCUAAACCCAAGUGGUAAUGGAGGGUAGCUCGAGACACAUAUUGAUCCACAAGGGAUCGGUCAAAGGCAAAUAGCCGAUAACCCGGCCAAAAGACCCGGUGUCUCAAUACUACCCAACUUUCCACGAGACCUGUAGAAAGGAUAUAGGAAUGCCCCGACACAGAAUAUUUGACGUUGCUGGUAGGACUUUGAGGCUUUCCAGUUUUCCUCCUAUCCACAGGCCGGAGGCUGUUGGGAAUUACCUUGAACGUAGGAACCCAUGAUAGGCCUAACUCCAAAGGGAGAGACCUAAGAAAGGGGAGGUAUUUCUCAGAUAGUGAUUUAACUGAAGAUGAAAUCAAAAUUGAGCAGGGAGUCAUAUUCCAAAUCGCUUUUCAAGAAAGCAACUUCUAUUUUGAUCUUUGUCUUUUUAUGAGUUCGCCUUUAGUAUGAUUCCGCUCUUCGAGAACUCUGAUGAUUCUACCUCCUUCUCUAGAAAGUUCAGUCAGGAAAGCCUACCAUUAACAAGUCCUUCGCCUACAUGGAUAUAAAGAAGUCCGACGGGUCAGAAUGACCUCAAUAUUCUUUCUCAUAUUUCAUUGACCCGUCCGAAGGACUCAGAAUUCCAUAGUCCAGGUGAUCAUAUAUUGGGACACUAGGCGGUGGGCUUUCUUCUUCUUCUUCUCCUUUAUCACGGGAUAGCUCUGACUUUGAAGCGAAGGAUUAAUGGAAAAAGGUUUGAAUAAAGACUCUCAUGUGUUAAGCAAAUGAUCUGAGAUCCUUUUUUUGCCUUUCAAACUUGUCUAUUUUAUACAUCUAUGAGUAAAAAAUAUAUCUAGUUUCGAACAAGGGUGGAUUUCCAGACAUCAUGAUGUAUCAUUCAUUUUUCAUGAAUCCGUAGAAUGGAUAGUCAUCCAAAUGAAUGAUGUGCCAAGUGGUGACACGAGGGAGGAUUUUCAGUCCUCUGCUCUACCAACUGAGCUAUCCCGGCCAUUUCCGACACAUUAUCCUUCUUUUAAUAGAUGACUUUGGUCUAUUAAGAAGAAAAUCAAAGGGACCAGAUGAGAGACGGGUUAAUAUGGAUAGUCCUUCGGACUGCCCUUUUUUUUUUGAUUUUGGAGGGGGAGCGGAGGCGCAAUGAAAUAUGCGUGAAUGAAUGAAUGCGCUUUCUUGAUUCUUACUUCAGAUUCCUUUAAGUAGGUUUAGAAGGCUCCUUUUGAUAGGCUUUCUCUCUCUACUCUAGUAAAGCUUUUUUUGUUGAGUAGGUUAUUGGUGGCGGAGAAGGACGUAGAAGGCAUCAAAAUGCAAUUCCUCUGACUUGAAACCGCGGAGUGGGAAGGCUUAGAGAAGAUCAGAAGAGAAAAUAGAAGAGAAGAGCUUGAAUUGAAAGAGAAGAUCAGACUCGAGUGAGGAAGAUAGAGAUCAAGAGCGGGAGAGAAAGAAGAAGAACAAGAACCUACUACUACUAAAAUCAAAGAAGACUAUAUAUAAAGGAGAGGCAAGGAAGAAUUGCCUAUCCUUCUACGUCCUCCUAAAGAAAGCCUAAGUCAGAAAGCCUAUCAACUAGAAAUCAAUGAACAAGGCUCAAAGAAUGAUCGGCGUCCUUUUGACCUCCGGAACCUAUUAGUGGAAUCUUUGACUUAGUGGAAAUUAUAAGGGGUCCAGAUGACUUGUUAAUGGAACUGAUUGUAGUAGGCGUCGGACCUUCAAAGUCAUUCAUACUAUAUUCACUUUCUGGGCUUGAGGCUAAAGAAUAUGAGUUCUCGCCCAAGACGGCGACUUUCACUUCGCUCAUAUUACAUUGAGCCUCUCACGCAAGUCAAAUUCUCUAAUGGAUAGGCCUCUACCCUCUUCGGAAAGAGAGCUGACCGGCGGGGCGGGGGUAGUUCGACUAACCGGGGUUUCAGGAGUUCCUCUGGGUCUCGACUGAGAACCUUUCCUGUCCAUGAAUGGGGAUUAUCUCGUUCAUUGCUCUCGUGCAUUCUUCUUGAGAUAAUCUAAGAUAUUACGGGGAAUCCUCUAGAAGAAACUGAAGGAAGGAAAGCUGCGGUGCGGGUAUAUUGAAUAACCGACAAAGAAAGAAAGCCACGUAGCGGUAUCUCGGGCCUAGAGGUUUGAGUACUCCAGAAGCAGGGGCUCGGUCUAAUUCAAAGAUCUGCUUCAUCCUAGGCUUUCUCUUUGGAAACUGAGAAUUAUGCCUCUGAGAUCCUAGUGCGGGUCGAGCGGCUUGAAUCUUGGACUCCUUUUAGUCGAGCUUCAACUCAUCUGGAGCUUGAUUUUUCUGUUGCAAAAGAAAGCGGAAAUCUUCAAGCAAUAUUCUUUCGCAAAUUCUUUGCGCCUCUUUGUCGAGUUAGAAAGGUUCGGGAUUUGAAUAAAUGAGAUGAGAGAGUGUUCUUGAAUAUAAGCUUUGCCACAACGAGAGCUACUGAAGAAAGAGCUGCUCCUCCUACUCUCGAACCAGGAGUCGCGCAUAUGGAUUAUCUGAUAUUAGAUCGUAUCGUAGAUUCAGAUUAUCUGACAAGGCAAGGAUUGCGCAUACGUUGCCUACCCGAGAGCCCUUGCCAGACUUCCAACCGCUAUAUCUUCGUCCCACGGCUUGCCAGACUCACAUCUUGAACGAAAACAUUCCAUUUGACAUGAGGGACUCCUAACAACACAACUAAGCUAUAGGGAAAGAACUACGCUACGGGAGAGGAUCAGUCUCGAGCAUAGCGAGAGGGAACCCUCACAUCUUGAUGUCAGACCAGAGGUGAGACUUGCCAUAAGUCAUCUAUUGCCUGACGAUGGCAAGCCAGAGCUGCUACGGCUAUAGAGCGUAUAGGAAGUCUAAUUUGAUCUAUGGCUCUUAUGGUUCUGAAAAGCUUUUUUCGAAUGACUGAGACCUUGAAAGAGCUGAGCGUAGAGAUGCGUCUGUCUGAUUAGUGAGUCCUUAUGGCAAUGUAGCUAUGCCAGAGUGUGGGAUUCUGAGCGUUAAGGGAAGCCUCUUGCUCGUCUGAGUGGGAGGGCUGAUGCCGGAUCGUCUGAUCGGAGUUCCUCUGUCCUGAGCCUUGGAUCUAGGGAUGCCCGAGCUCCUCCUGGGACAGAGCGUUCAUGUGCUUGCUUCACACUCUUGGCUACGACAGACAGAGUUGACUAUAGCUGUGCAUGCCAAUGGACUAGCCGAUAGGUAAGGAUAGCGCAUACGUUGCCUACGCAAUACUAUGUAUAGUCGAGUAAGCUAGCGUUCUAUCAAGUCUAGUACGAGGAGGAUCUUGCUUGGUAUACGAUACUUGCUAGACUAUGCAUUGCCAGACUCCGGCAAGACCGAAGAGUGCCACUACGAUAAGUAGAAUUAUGUAAAUACCGAAAAAAACUUGUUGUGGGAGCAGCCAAAAAAGAAGAGACAUUCAUUCAUUGAACGAAAGAAAUUUCGUAAAGUAAUUGAAUUUGAAUUAGGUCGUACCUUGACUCUCUCUGACUAGUGCAUUACAACAAGAAGAAAGCUGCAGGUAUUAAUCUUAGGCAAGAUUGAGGCUAAGACGGGGUUAUUCGCAAGGCCAGGGGCAGUAUCAAAAGAUAUAGAUCCCAGUCUAGAAAGAGAGAUAACUAAUUUGCCAACCAGUGGAAGAGCCUUGAACCCGCCCACUCCUAGGUAGGGUAGUUGGAACAUUUAUUGGCAUUAGUCAACCGGGAAUUUGUCCUCCUCGUAUUUCUCUAUCGACCAAAGAAAGAGAAGGUGCCCAAUCUAAUGCCCUAGUCUAUGUAGUAGCUGCCACCUUUGAGAUUGGUAAACUAGAAGAAAUACCAUCCAAUCCAGGAUUCAGUGCCAUCUGGGAUCCCACGUAGCGGUUGAGUACGACCCACUUUGUGAGUCUUGCAGACGAACGAACUCUUCAACGGGGUUGACUUUGAAGAAGAAAUCGAAAUACAAGGUUUAGCGGGUUGUUCAUCCUUUCCGUGCCCGUGCCCGUGCCCUCCCUAUAAAGCUAGCUUGGGAGGGGCGGAGCUGGCAGAGCCACCAGCGGCGAAGGGAUGGAGGUGGGUAAGAUCAAGAAAUUCCUUUGUUCAUACGUGCCGUAGGUAAAUUCAAUCCAAUCCAGGUUCGUAUGAUGAGGAAAGGGAGGUAAAGAAGCUGGCUAAGAAGAUUGGCUAAUUGGCCAAUCCGUUCCCAGUGACCCAUCUAAUUGAUUCGAUCCAGUGCAGAAAGAAGCGAGUGAGCGGCAACCAAUAUCGGACCUGGCGAAUAUCUGUCUCUCAAUCCCGGGAUGAAUGAAAGGAGGUGCAAUAUUGACCUAACCUCUCCUUCCUUUCUUCACUCUUUCUUUCUUAAUCGAUUUGUUCUCUCUCUUAAUGGAAUUAUCUGAAUCGAUUUAAUCUCCCUAAUCUUUCUUUCUUAAUGGAAUUAUCUGAAUCUCUUGUAUUUCUCGAUUUGAUAGCUUAAAAAGACAUCUUGAUCUAUUUUCUUGUUUAUAUAUGAUAAUCGAUAUCUUUGAUCGAUUGUAUUAAUCUCUUUCCUUUAUCGAUCUUUCUUUCUUGAUCGAUCUGAUAGCUCUUACUCUUAAGCGUAGCGACUCAGACCGCUAGCCUGAAUCAGCUUUCCUUUCAACUUCAUCAGCUUUCCCGGAUCUUUCUUCAUCUGCUUUUCCUACGCGUAGCGACUCUAUCUUUAUUGAGAGAUAUACCCGGGACAGCCUGAAACUCUUUCAGCGUAGCGGUAGCCGAGCGGUGGCUUCUCCCUUGCGGAUUUGGACAGGCUGAACAGGACAGGCCCGGCUCUCGGUCGGUGGGCUUCACCCGCUCCGUGGGUUUUCUGUUUUUCAGCUACGCGUAGCCUUCGAAUAUGAAUCUAAGGGCUCCGUAGGAGUUGAAAGGAGGGCAUUAAUGUGCAAAUGGUGUUUAUGAGUCCUCCGGACGACUCAAAACGAAUCAAUGAACAAGUCAUUGAAUAAAGUCAACUCAGAAUGGAACGAGUUCAAGAGGUCUUCAGACUCCGCUCCAAAAACAAAGGUCCUCAAUUCAAAGUUCAAACUCAAAAAAGCAGCGAAGGACUCAUUCAUUCCACAGGUUCAUAUGGAAUUUCAUGACUCCCAAUGACUCCUACGGAGCCUGAUUUUCCACUCAUUCAAUGCCUGAGGACGGACGGAAGUAGCUCGACCAUAGGAAGAGGGCCGUAGGACCACUCAAACUUAUGCUCCGCUCAUCUCUAGCCUUGUUUUGAUAUACCUUGAAUUCUUCUUCUCUUUAUUCAAUGAUCAUUCAAAGGCGAACUUUCAGUCUUGUCAACGCAUAUUUCAUUGCGCCUUCGUCCGGACGGAGCAAAGAGCGAAAAACUGAUAAUAUCUAUAUAUAAGUCAAGUAGCUUCUUAUCUUAUUAGAAUCAAAUUUCUGAGACCACUUAUUUAAUCAACUUCUUUCUUUCUUCUUAUUCAUGGGAUCAAACCCGGGAUUUUGCGCAUUCAAUGUACUAGUUCUUCUCUCCUAUCUCAUAUUGACAAGAAAUAGAUAGGAAGGAAGGAGGGCUCUCCUAUAAUCAGAGAAGAAUCAAGGUCAUCCUUGCACUCACUCCUUCCCAGUCGCUUCGCGCCUUCGUCUGCUAUAAGAAAGCCUUCUCUAAUCAGAACCGAAUCUCCUUCUCGGCUAAAAGUUAGCAGGAUUGAAACCACCGUCGGAGUAGAGUGCUCCCGGCCUAGGGCCAGCUAGGUGGGGAAUUGCAUUCAAACCCCCAUUUUUUUCACAUGAUUUGGAGUCAAACCCCUCGAGCAUCAUUCCCUUAACUCACAUUCAUUCACAUCAAGAAGCCGACUACGCGGUUCAGAGGUCGUCCUUUGCCGAAGCAUCUUGAUUCCUAUGAGAUUCAGAGUAAGCGCGGGUAGGACGAAGUCCGAAGCUAGCUUCGGAGCAUUAUUAUCCGUUGAGGAAGAAAGGGUGCGGGGCGAAGCAGCUAUCCCAAUACUGAAAGAGGGUCGAUCUAAUUCACCGAGACGGAGAGGGUAGAGAUCUGAAGUACUAUUAUCGGCAGUUCGUAUGAGAUCUUUCUUUCAUAGGUGGAGUUCUCAUCUCGGAUGAGGAAUGAAAAGAGAUUAUUCUAUUUCAAUAGAGUAGCCCACCCUUCCCAAGAGGUGAAAAAGACUAAAAGGAAGAAAGCCCCGAGGUUCGGAGCUGUCAAGCAAUUAUUCUUUUUGAAUAUCUACUCUGAUGAUCAAUACUGCUUUCCCAAGGCAAAUCUAAGAAGUUCAGUCAGAAAAGAGAAGAGUCCUUCCCCGCAAACCCCGUACUCAAAAAAGGCAUUUCAUACUCGACCAGGACUAAAGGGAAUGCUAAACCUUGCAAAUUCUAGAUGGACUCGUGAUAGAAUGCCAAUUGAAGUAAUGAGAGGCAGACGACCAAUAAGGAUUCGGCAAUUAGCUUAUCCCAUAGGAUCGACCUCUCCAGUACCAGUAUCGGAUCCACGGGCCAUUGAAUAAGAGGCAGGGGUAUUCUCUCUUUCAUCAGAGUCCCGGUCGGAACCCCAUCGACCGGGGAAGAGGAUAUAUAUAGGCGAGACGGAGAGGAGACUCGACCAAAGGUUCUUAAGUUCAAUAUUUAAGGAGAGAGAAGAGGAUAUAUAUAGGCGAGACGGAAGAGGAUCCCGAAAGAAAGAGACCUCCACCCUUGAGCAUAACUGAUUAUUUUGGAUUAGUUAUCUUAUAGGUUCAAAGAAUCAAUUGCAGUUUCAGAGGCGGGAAAGGGCCCUUGUUCAUUGAUUCCUCUUUCAUGAUUUCGUAUUCCGUCUUCCAUUGAAUCAUAUCUGAUAUCCGGAAUAUCCUAGAUUCACAAAUCAAAAUUUCUUCUUCUUUCUUCUGUCUUUCUCGAGAAACCUCCGCCCAAAGUGCGAGGUUUAGCCGUCAGUGGACCUAAAUAAAGGUGGACGCUCAGCCGGGGGUAAGAACUAGUUGAGGAAUGAAUAUCUAUAUAGUCUCUCGUUAUAGGAGUCAAUCUGUCUCGGAAUUGCUCAUUCUCAAUGAAUUUUUCUUUCGCAUGAAAAGGAAAUAAUAGAACCGAUAGGGAAUGAAUAAGAGUUAGCAUCAAGGAUCUUUCACUGAGAGUUCGUAUGAUCAGAAGAUCAGACAGGCUAGGCGUAAUUGAGUCGAGUUAGUUUAUUCUCUCGGAUUAUUUGCGGGAGAGAGAGAAGGACUUGGGGAGAGACCGAGUUUGAGUCUUCCCCAUGUUCUCAGUUAAUGAGAGAGUGGUCCAUGCAUUUCAUUCUAAGUUGAGACUGGACUGAAGGUAAAUCAGUACAAUAAGGGAAAGUGCAAUCUGCCUCGGUUUCGGAAGAGGAAGCUCGCCGCCCCUUGAUCAGAAGUUGCUCUGGCCCUGGCCUCUUUAUUUCAGUUCUUGAAUUAAUUCAAGGGAUUCUCCGAUCGGGCUAACCCGCAUUUCAAGACCAAAAGGUUUACAUAACGGAAGGGUAGAUUUUCACUCUCUGUCCUUGAGCCACGGAGUAUAGCAAAUCCACUCCGAUCUUAUGGGCUCACCUUGCCCGCCAUCUCUCUCCUUCAUCUGAAUGGGAUCGUAAAAUAAAGGAUCCGCAUUUCUUUGAAGAUCUCCCAUUAUUUCACUCUGAUUUCCUACAAAAAGGUCUGAAUCUGGGAAAUGGGGAAGUAGUCCUCAAUAAGAAGAUUCAAUCUAUUAGUUGAAUGAUUCUCUGAUCUUUUUCCGCUCGACCUAGUCCUCAUCGGAAUUCUAAGUCGACAGGCACAGGACAUCAAUCGUGACGAACUUAGUAGGGUGAGUCCCGUCUCAGACGAAGGAAGGGCAGUUGAAGGAGAAGUCGGCCCUGUCCCGUGUUCGAGGGAAAGAAUAUUAGCACACACCUCCCCCCUAAUAAUCCUACACAAAAUCAAAGACCGCAGAGUCUUUAGAAGUAGACCGAGUUCGCCUUUAUUGGUCGAAAGAAGAGUAAGAAUUCUCAGUUUAGCUUAUAUUUAUGAAGCGGAUUCUCCGUAUUUUUACCCAUCCCCGUCCUGCCCUCGCAGUAGUCCUUUCUCUUGUUCUUGAUUUGCAUAAAAGACAAGACCAUUUCCCGAACCUCAAUUUCUUUCUUGGCACUAUGCCAACCUAAAAAAGGUUAGAUAUAGGCAGGCGAGACCGUAAAUCUCUCGUACUCCAACUCAGUAUCCUUCCCCGGUCCGGGAAAGCUGCUUGCGAGCCUGCUAUUCGUCGAAUGAAAUACCUCCCCCCCCGAUCUUUUCUAUAUAUUCUUUGCACUCCUGUCCGAAGGACUCGCUCCCCUGCAGAUAAAUGCGCUUGUCUAAUCGACCCUCUUUCUCUUCCCUUUCAUACUUCUUUCUUCUUUCUCUGUCUCAGUCUGUCUUCUACACAGCCUCUGACCUCUACGUCCCCGGUGCGUAGGGCCGAUCCCUGCGAAAGAAAGGAUUUUGGAAGAGGUAGAUUCAUUCAUGAAAGGCAUAUUGAAUUGCGCCUUCGUUCAAUUCCCACGCCAAAAAGAAAGGUCCAGAUGACUAUGAAGGAGGUUCAAAGAAGAUUUCAUUGACUAUUCAUCCUAUUACUUUAAGAGAGAAUGAAAGAUAGUUCAAAUUGUAAUACGAUCGAUAUUACGAUAUCUUGAAUGAAGAAAGAGACUGUAACAAGGUCAGCCUCUGCUUCAAGGGUUCUGAUCCGGGCAAAAGGCAGGAGGAGCCAGGAGUUGUUUAGGAAGGAAUCCGAGACUGGGAAGGCGCAAAGAAUAUUAUAUUGUUGGAAUCAAUUGAUUAAGAAUCUUCUCAAUCCCCUAAUGGAUAGUCAGUCCGAAGGACGGGGGAUUUGAGAGGCGCAAUGAAAUAUGCGGGGAACGUGAAUUCCACCGAAUAUCUUCUUCCUUUCCUCGGAGGCCUUAUAGAUCGUGCUGGUGGGAGUUUGUCCCUAAUCCGGAUAAGGCGCUUUCUUGCUUAUUAAUUAGUCUUUCUUGCUUAUUCAUUCUUUCCACUUCUACUUCAACUGAAUUUCUUUGAAUAAAAGCUAGUUUCCACAGAAAGGGCUACUACUUACUGAUUUUUCUGAAAGAAGAAAAAGAAACUUUCUCCACCUCGGCCGCAACAGAGAUCCCGCAACGGACCACCCUGAUCCCGUAGCUCUAUAUCCUUAGUGGUUAGUGGAGAACAAGUCAAAUCACAUUACUGAAGAGAAGAUUAGUAAAUCAAUGUAACCUACUUAAAGGAAAAGGAAUUUCAUGAUUAUGCCUCCGUCUGACCCCCUCCUGAUUUUAUGGAAUCGGUCUUUUAUCUUAGAUAAACUUAUACAACUCCGUAUAAUUUGCCUUCGCACCUCUCCAACUCAGGAAUCCCUUUCUUCAAGAAAAGAUCGCGCAUCGACUAAGACGAGUAGAUAAAGAAUGGGAUAAAUAAAGAAGUUGUCACGCGCCUUGGUCAAGAGAGAUUGAUCAUUCCCGAUCGCAACUGAAACGGGGACGGAAGGAUUCGAACCUCCUUUGAUAGCGCCCUCACCACCGGGCCACGCCCCAUGACUAAUAUUGAGAAGGCAGGCAUAUUUCUCUUCAUCCUGGUUUGAACAAGUGAGAUUCAAACUUGAGACAAAAGGAAUUCAUCUGCUGACAUCAAUGAACAAGGCUCAAAGAAGAAAGAAGAGAAUGGCGAUCAGUAUUUGAGAAGAAAGAAUAUCCUUAGCUGCCGUGAGUUGCGUGAGAAAGAAAUAAAUAGGAUGAAUAGUCAGAAGGCGCCAUAAGACAGGUCCGAAGGUUCCAUAAGAGGGAUAUUGAGAAUUUGGUCCUUCAUUCAUCAAAUUUCAUUGAUCCUUCGCUCAAUUCACAUCCAUAAAUAAAGGGCUCUAAAAUCAAGGCGGCAAAGAAAAGGUGAAUAUGGGUAAUCGACAAAGGCGCCGGAAAGAUUCCAGCCUAUCUCUUCGCUUCCUUCUAUAUGGAUAAAGAAGUCCUUCGGACGAGUCAAUAAGGUCUUUUUUCGCUCAUCAUAAUCCUCUGGAAAAUUACCUUUGAAAUCCGAGUCCUUUCCUUGCCUUGAGUGAGGGCUUUUCGACCAGCAGGAAUCUCCUGCCGCAGCACUAAGCAGGCUAGCCGCCUAUCCCCCUGGCUCCUAGUGUGUGCCUGAGUGGAAUCCUUGACUUAGUGGAAUGAAUGAGUUUCCGGAGGUCCUCCGUUUUAGAUUUAGAGUCCUACUUCCUUCCAUAUGGAUGGUCCUACUUCGGUUAAUUACGGAUGGUCCUACGGAUAAAUCCUCCGGACUACUUCCUUCCAUAUGGAUGGUCCUACUUCUAAUGGAUAGUCCUACGGAUAAGAAUCCUCCGGACUCCGGACGUAGGAUAAAUCCUGCGGACGUAGGACCCUGGACCUUUCUUUGAUGGUCCUCCUAACUACGGGCUCCUUUGUCGAUUUGCGCGGAGCAGACUGAUUUCUUAUCGUAAGGGCAGUCCUCCCCUAAUUUCUUUUAUGGAUGUUCAUAGAUCCUUGCCUCCAGUUAAGGCUUCUAGCCUUCCUUUCGAACAUAUUAGUGGUCCGAAGGACUUCGGACGGAGAGGGUUCUCCGGACCUUUUUUAUCCACAGAUUAAGCUUGAUAAAUCAGUGUUAAGCUAUUUUAGUGGAAUGAAUGAGAUAUUAGAAUAGCGAAUAGUCCUUCGGACUGGUCUUGGUCUCUUUUUCUCUUGCUUCGUAGAUUAGCAUAUUUCCGCAAUAUUCUUUGCACCUGGUUGGGUUGGGAAAGCUUCCUCUUAAGUAUGACUAGAGAUCUUCCCUAUCCCGCCGAUCAAAGAAUUGAGUUAGCAUUCUUCUUUCUUCUAUUCUAAUAGAGUGAUUUGUGAUUAUUGACUUGCUCGCUUCGCCACUCUCCCUCUUGGCUGCUUCGAGCCUGUCCUGAGAAUGAAAGAGGAAGUCUGACUUCUGACUCCCGAGCCUCCUCUGCUGCUUAAACUGUCCUCUCCAACUCUUUCUCUAGCUUAGCUUCCUACAAAUCCCCUAAUGGAUAGUCCUUCGGACCUGUCUCGCAAUAUCCUUUGCGCCUCGCAAUAUUCUUUGGGCCUCAGUAGCUUAAUUCAGAAAGUCAAAUCCCAUGAUUCCUGCUACCUGCCCCUUUAAAGGUCUAGCUUCAGCAACAGAUAAUUACCUUGAAGCCGAAAGAGGGACGACUGGGACGAGGGAUUCCUUUGAUUAUGGAAGGAAGGAGGCUCCUAUCCGGUAUCGCUUUCAGUUACUCAUGCGAAGUGGAAGUCUUAGAGUUCCCUUGAACAUAGUGAUGAUCACUCUUAUUCUCUUAUUAUGCCGCUCCCUCUUCUCUCCGCAAUAUUCUUUGCACCUCUUCUCGUCCUUUGGAACCUCUCCGUCUCUUUUUAGUACUUCCUGCUUGCUGCUUUCCCGCCGAUGAAGAUGAAUUGGGAUUGAUUGAUAUAGUGCAAAUUGAGUUCUUUAUCAAUAGCCCUAUUCAGACCGCUCCGUGGGACCUAUUGGUAUAGCAGUUCAACUCCUUCCCGGUUAGCAGCUUUCUUUGGAACCUACUCUGAUGAGACUGAUUCCGAUGAUCCCGUAGUAGGUCGAGCCACUAUUUUUGCCCUUUCUUUUGAGUGAUUUAUUCCGUACCUAGGGAAGUCUUCCGCUUAUUAUGCUGGUACCUCGCCAACUCAGUUUAGACGUUCCACUCCUUGCUACUUUGCUCCACUUCUAACCCGGAGGGGGCGGUCUUAGUUCACGCUUGAGGCUAGUCUCUAGCUCUAGCUUGUUGGGUCGAGCGGUCCCUCUGUAGGUAAGUAGGUCGAGCGCCUUUGUCCCUGAAAGGUUGAGGUAGUCUUUCCCUUUUAUAGAGUGAUUGCUUUGCUCCCUCUUCUGUGAUGAUUCUAAACGGAGACUUGAUCUUCCUCGUCAAGGAGCAUAACUCAAGAUUAUGCAGCAAGGGGACUCCCAUUGGUAUCGCUUCCUCGAGAUCCUUACCUUUUUCAAUGAAUGGAAGAUGCAAGAACAACUGAAGCGGGUGCCUGUCGGCCUACUUUACCUUCUUUUUCCUGUGAAUUUGAUCCAAUCCAAGGCGGAAUCCAUCCCAGAGUUCUUUCUACAAAAUAGCUAAAAUCAAAGCUCCAGAUGAGUUUCAGUUCAAAGAAAGGAUAACCUUUGACGAAGACCUUUCCGAUCAUUUGGCCUAAGGCCGAUUGAUCUAUUUUCUAUCCAUCCACUAGUGUGACAAAGACAGAGAUUUGACUCCUGCUUCCCAGCAAAAUGCUCAUUCAAAGGAGUAAACGAGGAAAUCGGGAUCCUUUUCUCUGAGAAGGAAGACCAUACUACAGACCGCCCGCUUAGGGGUUGGCGCCGUAGAGCAGGAGGACGGUCGAUCUUUCGUUAUCGGGUGAAUCUUGAAGUUCUCAUUCUCUCUUUCGAGUCAUUGGAGAGGCGCGAAGAUGCUCGACCGGUUCUAAUCGUAUGAUCUCUUUAUCAUGGCACAGAUGCAUUUGCUUGGGCGCAGCUGCUCAAGAAAAAGUGCUCAAGCUUUAGUGUAGAACAUUGUCUGAAGAGCUCACUGAAAGGGAUAAGACUUUCUUCUCGGAGAAGAAGUGAACGAGACCCGUAGCUUACUCCAGCGGGAGCAAGACGGACUGGGGCUCUGAGAGUUCCAGCAUAUCCAAGCCUUAGUGGAAUAAUACGUUUUUAAGUGGAAGGCAACUCAUAUUACAUUGAGCCUGCAACUGUGCCCCGCAUUUAGCCUUACAGUCGAGCCGCUUUCGCUCCAGGUGCUCAGGAAAGUUCGGAGACGGAUGUAGCUUCUUAAUAUGGAAGAAAGUUAAGCUUGAUAAAGUCCUUAUAAUGUCUAAUCUUUCUCUGGGUCCUCCGUUUUAGAGUCCUACGGAUAAAUCACCUGGACCUUUCUUUGGCACUUGCAAAAUCUAGUAUUUUACUCCUCCCACAAAGAUGCACAUUUUUCAUUCCCAUGUUCCGUCCGAAGGACUUCUUUAUCCAUUAGUCGUUAAUGAGCACUUGAACCUGUCUUUCUCAUUCGCAUACCGAUCAAGAAAAGCCUCAGCUACUGCUUCCCUCAACGGCUUCUGAUCCUUAACUCAGUCGAGCAGCUUCAACAGCUUUUUAUGGGAAUUCAGACUCUUCCUCUUCCGCCGAGACGGCUUCCGGAUGGAUGUCUUCCCUUGUAUUGUAAGAGCUUUUUUCUGCUUUCUAGUUCACAAGAGGAGGACGAGUGAUUCAGAGUUGUCUUCCUUGUCUAAAUUCCGAAUUCCGAAACUUGAGAAGUUUAGCUAGGUCAAUAUUCUUUGAACCUUUGGUCGUCUAACCUCAGUAAAGCGGCUUCCCACCUCUCCCGAACGGAGCUAGCUAAAGAGUUUAUUCAAUCUACUACCCCUUUCUCAGAUACGACUUAUUUAGGAGCGAACGAUUCUAUCACGCUCGCUAAGAGGAAUUCAAGAACCCCACCACCAGGAAGGGAAUAAGAAGUAGUACUGGUGGUAGCAUUGGAAUGGAUCGCUUUUCCCGAAUGGAUAAGUCUCGCUUUCUCUUUCAUCCACUUGGGCACGACGACGAAGAUCUAGAGAAAGAUCGGAUCGUUCAUUCAAUUCUAUACGUUAUUCGCGAAUUGGCUUUUCACGCGUAGAAGGACGGAGAAGGCCUUUCAUGAAGGGCAGGACUCCGUAGUCGAUUUGUCAAUAUUCUUUGAACCUCCUACGCUCCUGAUUAGUCUUAUUCCUUCUAUUUUAGUAGGCUCCGGAGGCUGCUGAAUGAAUUCAGUCUUUACUUGACUAUUUUUAGAUUACUAAAGUAGGUAGAAGGAGCUAGAAUAUCCCUGUCUUAUGGAACCUCUCGCUUGGAAAAAGAACCUUGCCCUAGGUUCUUUCUUUAGAGGAUAGGCUUUGAUUCUUUUUCUGCAGUCUUUUUUAGGCGGAAGGCUUCGAUCUUGAGUCUGAGUAGGUCUUCCAGUUCUUUCUCUAGCAUAAGUCGUUGAAGUAGGAAGAGAAGUUGAUCUCGCAGAAAGCCGCUCGGGUAGAUCCGCUUUACCCUUUCAAUAGGGAUCCAUCAAUCGUACGCGCGAACAAAGCUAUCCAGGGGUCAGAGCCUCAACCGCAGAAUAAGCAGGGGCGAGGUGCAAAGAAUAUUGCGGAGAGGAGUUGAGCGGCUCGGGGCAGGGGAAUCCGCAGUCACAGUUGCGGCUUAGGCAGGACGCCCACGGAGCGGACGAGUCCUUUCUCUUUGUCUUUCUUUCUUAAGUGGAAGUUCUGGAUAAGUAGCGUCAUGUUCGGGAAUGAGACAAAUCUCUGAAAAAUCAGUUUCCUUAUCACCUUGGAUUUUCCUCGCCUUCUUUCUACCUCGUUAAAAGUCAGGCUUUUUGCCUAUAGCUCGUAUCAACAAUUUCCGAUUUCAGAACAACUAGAGCCACUUCUGCAACAGCUGCUACCGAUCGAACAAGAACUAGAGCUGAAACAAGAACAAAAGCGACUGCCGAUCCCCGGUGGAGCUGCGGAUGAGACUACUUCUGACCUUCCUUCUCCUUCAACCGAAAGAUGAACCGAAAAUCUUCUUUGAACCUCGACUGAAUACUUCAACCGGCCCAAGAGCCUACUAAAAAGAGGGUGCCGAGACAGAUUCCUAUCUUACCGCAACUGAUCUGCCUUCUUCUUUCAGUUACCUAGCGGAGAAUAUAAUACGAACAGAAAGAUCUCAUGAAACUCCUAAGGAGUAUAUCCCCUCUCCCUAUCGCAGCCUCUUAAUCCACCAACAGCAGUUGACUCAAGAGCAGCAGUUAGACUCUUUCUCAUUCCUUUUGUUGUGACCUUAGCGGAACCUAGCCCUUUUUCAUUGAACUCUUUCCCCCUCCUUCAGCAUAAUCUAUAUUGCUCAAGAUUCACCGAAAAUCUUCAACUCAAUUCAUUCAGCCUGUCUUAUGGCGCCUACGCGGUUCAUUCCCCUUAUCAAUGAGACGGUAGAUUCAAUAUUCUUUGAACGUCCUUCGCGGUCUUCGCAACUCAAAUUGCAUUGAGCCUUCUAUUUUUCCUAUUUAGUGGUCCAAAGGGCUCAUCUGGAGCUUGAUUUUAGGAGCGAAAGCGGCUCGCCGACGAUAGGAAAUAGAGGCGGAGGCGCAAUAUUGCGAGAGCCUAACGGUCAAUGAAAUAUGAGAAGAUUACAUUCUUUCUUUUUGAACCGGAGCGGAAUAAAGAAUAGACCUCUCAGUAUCCGUCCGUAGGACUAUCCAUUAGAAAAGUUUGAACAAACUAUGUGAAUUUCGAAAAUCAAAUAGGACAAUGCCUUGCAAUUUCCCGGCUUUUUUGCUUCUUUUUCAUACUUUCUCGGUUUUCUCUAAAUAACGAAAAUUGUCUAAUUUUGACUGAUUUUUCAUGAUUUCUUGCUACUUCCCUAUGGGCAAAACCUAGCAAAAUCAUGUAUUUCCCUCCGCGGAUUCAUCUGAAAUCUAGCUCUUCAAUCUCCCUCUUUCUUUUUCAUUCCCAUUUUUUUCUUCUUUCAUUAUCGUUAAUGAGUUCAUUCUUCAGCACUUUCUCCUAAUUUGUAAACUCGAAAUCUGAAAAGAGCCUUUCUUCUUUUCCGCAACUCAUAUUGCAUUGAGCCUCACUAUGAUCCUAACUAUUCCUUGCUCCUCCGGAGGGAUCAUGACUCUUUGAUUUUAAUGGAUAAACAAGUCCGGAGGACGGGGUCCAUCUGAGUCAGAAACCGCAUCUUUGCAACCUUUGGGAUCAUGACUCUCAAAUUUCUCGCAAUAUUCUUUGCUCCUACAACUUCGGAUAUUGAUCAAAGAAUUAUCUAUUAGAUCCAUUGAAUUUCUGGAAAUAAGGCUCAAAGGAUGGAUAUUGAGAUGAGAUUCUUUCUUUUUGAUUAGUAGGUUUAGAAGCGUAGGAGGACGUAGAAGUCCCAUAAAAAGCCCUUGUUCAUUGAUUGCGCUCUUCUGAACUGAUAUUCGCUUCGCCGCAAUAUUCUUUGCACCGGCUUACGCUUGAUUUUGAAAUAAGCUUCCGUGACACAGCUCUUCUUCUUUUUUCUUCUUCUUCCCUAUUCAUACUCAGCAGCUACGGAUGGGAUGCCUAUUCCUCACCUAGGAGUGGGACGGGUCCAACCCUUCUUAUUCAGUUACCGAUGUUACCGAUAAAACUACAUCUGGGAAUUCAGAAAAAAGAAAUGAAUGAUCUUGAAAUUACCAUGGUGGAAUCAAAGAUGAACAAGAAAGUCAGUAGUUGACCCACUGAUAUAUGGCAUUCAUUCCCAACUCAAUUCACAACGAGCGAAGGAAGAAAGCAUCCCAACCCAACAAAGACAAAGGAUGAAAGAAAGAGAGAUCUCAUCCGAGAUCACAACGAAUGAAAUGGCAUUCCCUAUUUAUCUCAUUCUCUAUUUCUUCAGAGAGUAAUGAGAAAAAUCAUAAGUUCAGAAGAAUCAGAAAGCCGGAGGCUGGGUCAAGCGUAGUGGGAGUUCUUUCCUAGCCGAAUCAUAUCAAUUCCGAUUCCAUCAUCUGAUAGAUUCAAUACUCAUUAGACGGGUGUCAGGGAAUCCAUCCCAAAUAGGAAGGACGAGACCGGAAGCAUCCAUCUUUCUCUUUCAGCUGUGAAGGUGAAAGGGGUUGCAGUCGAUCUUUCUCUUUUUCAGUUGCGUUCGUGCUCCUCUUGCACGGUUCUCGCUAUCCUACUUGUUCAUUAGAAUAUUAUAUUAUUGAAAGAACUUCCCGCUCUGUGGGCUUUUGGGACUGAAGUGACUGAAAGAGCGGAUUCACAGUUCCAUUAGUGAAAGACCCUGUCGAUAGAGUGAGAGUCAAAAGGUCUCGAUAUGAAGACGGGUUUCCUAGGGUGCUCUCUCUUCCCUAUAGUAUUCUACAUCAAAGAGAAAAGAAGAAAGUGCUCUACCUCACCCGGGCAGGGGAAGGGCUAGUUUCAUAACACAUUCGUUAUUGAAGACUCCUAAUCCGACCCUCGUAUCCGCUAUCUGCGCUUCUAUAUCCUCGAUUCUCACUCUUCUUUUCUGAAUUCCCCGCUACGUGGGAGCUCCAUAUCCAUAUUAAUAAUGUCUUGAGGCUAGUCUCUUACUGAGAUAGCUUCCUUCCCUUGCUGGGGAUGGAGAUUCCACCACUAGGUCGGUUCUUAGUUCUACUAAACUAGGUCGCUAACCGAUGCCGGAACUGAGAAUGCUGUCUGAACUUAUUCAAUUAGCGCUACGUGGGCUAAAUCCGAGUAAACAAAGCCUCUCGACCCUACCGAGUAUCUGAGUGAGUCCUUCUUUCUAGCUUCCCUGUAGAGCAUUUCAUCCAAUGCGCCUUUCUUCCUUCCCUUAUUCAGGAAAUUACGUAAUAACAAAGAGGCUUAGCACGGUGGGGAGAUUAAUAUGGAAUUGACUUCUUUUCUUAACUUAAAUAAGCGCUUUUCCACAAGAAAAGAAAGAAGGACUGCGCCUGUCUUAUGGAGCCUCUUACCGGUGCGAGAAGGAUCGGAAGCGAAGCGACUCUUAAGUUAAGGAGCGCAAAUCAACUCCUCCGCUCCUACUCCGACUAGAAACUGAAAGUCGAAAAAGAAGAAAUUCACUCGCUCGGUAAGAAAGCUGAUAAUGGGCAAGAUCUCCGGAAAGGCUCUUAGUAAUUAUUGAGGAAUCCAUAAAGAAAGUUUUAGGAUAGGCGAACCUUCUUGAAGUUUCUCUAAGAAAAAAGACUAAAAACCCACUACUAAACCUACUAUUUCUCAUCAAGCCUAUCCUCUCCUUUACCUUCUUUGAUGGAAGUUUUGGAGGAGUUGAACCCAUGAAUUCACACACAAGCUAAAGAGUCGGGGUCGGUUAAUAUAAUAUGGACCUAAUCUCAACGCAUAUUUCAUUCCGCCUUCGCAUAUUUCAUUCCGCCUCCGUCCGGAGUCCGGAGUCCUACAGAUGAAUCUUCCGGACUAUCCAUAUGGAAGUAGGACCAUCCGUAAUUAACCGAAGUAGGACCAUCCGUAAUUAACCGAAGUAGGACUAUCCAUUAGAAUAGAACUUUGCACCUUCUAUCAAAUUCGUGAAUAUGGAUGAAUGAGUCCUUCGCCUCAAUGAUUUUGGAGGCGCAAUUCAAUAUGCGUUGUUGUACUUAAAACAGUAUUUAUUAGGUCGUCUUCUAAAUCAUUAACACCUUUAGUCUUUACAUAGUUUUUCAAACUGGAGGCACUACAUCAGACUCGUCCUACGCAUUUUAUAGAGUUGUCUUUCUUCUUUCUCUCUUGUUUUACUACGCGGUAAAGAAUCAUCAAAAUUCAUGUAAUAGUCUUUCUUAAUAUGGAUAGUCCGGAGCCUUCGGAGCGGAGGCAAGGAAUAAGACUCCUACUACGGGGAGCGCAAAGCGACAUAGGAGUCCUUCGGACGGGCUAAAAGAAGAACUGCUAUGGGUGCUGCGGAUUCCCCAGCGGGUGGACAAGAGGGGAGGGGCUGUCCCAUUGAAUAAGAGUCAGAAUCCACUAGGGUCACAUCAUCCAUCUCGGGAAGGUAAGAGGGAAGGAAUCUUUGAAGGUUGAAGAGGAUGUGGAACCUUUCAUCUGCAGCAUGAGAUGGAUUGAUUUACGAUGCCUUUCUGGGGAGGCCGUCCCUCUUAAUGCUGAUCAGUCAUCCUCGAGGAUCAGUUGCGGCCUUUCCUUCUAUGGGGUUCUCUUUUUGACUUGGAAAAAGAUAUCUCGCCUAGUCUCGACCUUUAGAGUCAUCUGGACCUUUGUUUUUGGGACUUCUUUAUCCAUAUUCACCCUUUCUUUGCCUUGGCCGUGUAGUGGGGAUCUCUAGCUAUCGAGCUUUCCGAACUCAUACUCAAACCUUUCGCCUCAACUCCUUGGUCUAUAAUGAGGCUUCCCAAGAAUCUCAUUCCGAUUUGUUAACGAAAGACCUAUAAGUACCAGUAAAGGAUCUCCUCUCAUUUUCCUGAAUUAGGAUAAAGCCUAGUACAAUACAAAUCCUGCCCCGGGAACCGGGAAUUAGCAAUCUUUGAAGGGAAGAGAGGAAAGGAGCAUCCCGAUCUCAAGAUCGAAGGAGAGCCAACUGUUUACAGGAAAGGAAGUUGAAAGAGGCAUGGUACGAGAGGAAAGCCUCACGGCCAAUUCAGCUAAGUGUCAAAGACCGUUGACAGCUACUGCUAGUCGCAAACCUUCUCUUCCGAAAGAACCUAUUUGCCCACUGACUUUCAGCUCUGUAAAAGAACCCAUCCUCUUAUCAUUUCCUCUUCCUAUUUCUUAUUUCUUAGAAUGAAUAUUUCUUGAUGCACCUAUGUAUGCUAUGGAUUCAGAAAAGAAAGGAUGAAGAGAAUCUGCGAAUGAAAGUGAAAGAAGAAUUUACUCAUUAACGAGAAUUCACUGAUUAAGAAGAAUCCACAGUCCGAAGGCUCAAUGUAAUAUGAUUUUCCGCUUUGUUUUUCCGAAGGACCAAGCUUUUUUUACCGCUCGCAAGUCAAAUUCUCUAAUGGAUAGGCCUCAGCUUGAUUUCUGUUAGAAGGUGGGCUUUCUUCUUCUCAAAUACUUUGAGCCUCGGACUAUUUCUCAAUCUUAGACCGAUAAAAGAUCUUUUUUGACUGAUUUUUUCUCUUUGUCUUUCUGCCUCUUUCUCUCCAACUCACUCGAGCCGCUUCGGUCCUCUCCCUCUAUCGGCGGCGAGCCGCUUUCGCUCCUCUCCUUACAGUCGAGUUCCUUCUAUCCUCUGGUCGAGUGGCUACGCUCCUCUCACCCAGCGCAGUGAUAGUACGGACUUUCUUUCUGGUUUGUGACUCUUUUCAAGCAAUAAGAAGAAUUACCGCUACGUGGCUUUCUUUGUGGCUUUUUCUUACUCCAGACAAGAUGGGUACAGUGGCUCGACUUUAUAUUAACUAUCGUCUUCUCAAAUUCCCUAAUGGAUAGUCCUUCGGACCUGUCUUAUGGAUCCUUUGAUUCUUGUUCACUAAGAGUUCUUUCUUCAAGAGUCAGAUCGGUGCCAUGAGGGAAUGCUAAUUGAAUAGAGAUUCGGCUUAGUAAGCCUUUCCUCGUUCGCUCCUCGUACCUUUACAUCUUCCUAUGAUUGGUUAUGCGAGCAGGCCCCUUCCUGUUUACUAAGUGGUCGCCUUGUCUUAUACUUUGAGACUUUGUUGACUCUCUUUGAAUGAGUUCUAAGGUUGGCGGGAGCUCUUCCCUCCCCUUACCUGAUUUUUCAAGAAAGGGCUGAAAGAAAAGAAAUCUCUCGAAAGAAAGAAGAGGGUACCGUGGAAGAUGUAAAGACAAUAAGCAAGGGGCACUAGCUGGUAGCGGGCUCUUAAGGGUUACCAUCAAAAAUCACUAUCCUCCACUCCUAUUGAAGACAGAAAACCUGCCCGAUUGGGAGAGGGAUGAAAUAGCUCGACCGUAGGGAGAGGGAUGAAAUAGCUCGACCGUAGGGAGAGGGAUUCUUCUUUCUUCUUUAUAGUAGGUUUGUUUAGAAGAAGACUCCCAGAAAGAGAAAGCCUAGCGAAGGGAAGCGACUGGAAAGGAGUGCAGAGUGCAAGUGCAGGAAAUAGCUUUCUUUGAAAGGAUGGGAAAUCGAGGUAGUCCUUUGCUUAAGACAAUGGUUGAGUACAAAGACGAAUACCUUCUCCUCUUACCGGUAAGCAUCUCUUUUCUUAAUUGGCCUAUAACCACCCCUUGUUCAUUGAGGCGGGAGAGAAAGCACUCCACCUCUUCGGGAGAGAGAGCACCAAAAGCGAAAGCGGCUCGACUUAUAGGAGAACAAGCGAAAGCGGCAGUUCGUCUUCUUGAAAAAGGAGAAUUGGUAAGCUCUUUCAUUCGAUCGUCACACCAGUCCGGAGUCAAAUAUUAGUGGAAAACAAAGGUCCAGGUGACUCUACCCUAUUUAUUGAGACCCCACUCCGCGGUUCAAUUCAAUAUUCAAUAUGAAAGGAGCGGGAUCCUUCCUCUUUAUAGUAGAUUUGGAAGAGAGCAGAACUAUCCACUGAAAGUAGAAAAGGUCAAUGGAAGUCCUCUUCCUUAAAGACUUUUUAGUAGGUUCUUUCAAUAUUCUUUGAACCUCCGGCUUUCCCCUUUCUAGUAGAAUAAUAGGAUAUUUGAGUAGAACUCCUCCGCUCCUACUCCGACUAUCCACUGAAUGUGACAAGAGAACUCCAGAAGAUAGGCUUUCCCCUUUCUAGUAGAAUAAUAGGAUAUUGGAAGUUUCAGUUCGGAAUGGAUCUCGCAAUAUUCUUUGCGCCUUCUAUAUAUUCUUUGCACCUCUGAAUUUCAUGCGCUUCCCUUCUCAUAUUUCAUGGAACCUUAUUGCAGACUUCACAUUCUACUUUGUCUCUUCUUUCUUUGUAUGUAAUUUAAUAGUCUUUGUCAUUUGCAGCCCUCCUUUUGAGUCUGUUCAACUCAUCCUGGAGCUUUAUUUUGAAUUGACUUUCUUCCUCUUAUCUUAUUCUACAACUGAUGAAUUUCACGACUCAAUGAAUUCAGCCUCCUUCUAAGAAAAAAGCCUAGCCCAAAAGUCACUAAAAAAGACUCAAGAAUAUCCCUGUCUUAUGGCGCCUCACAGUCCAUUCAAAGAAGCCCACGGUAAAGAAGUGAGUUACUCAACUCUGAAUCACGAUACGGAGCGGUGCGAGUCAGCUCUUCCCUUGAUGCUGAGGAAGCUGCAGCUGCAGGUGCAGCUCUUUCUUCAGUUUAAGUUCUUGUCCUUGCUUUAAGUGGUUGAAGUAGAGGAUGCGUCAUCCGUUCUUCGAUCGAUCGGAUCGCUAGAUCGUCAGGCUAAAAUCAAGCCUUCUUUCUUCAUUGAUUGACUUUUCCAAACUAGUUUUCUUCUCGAAUUGACUACUCCUAUUCUUUUCAAAGUCAGAGCUCUCUCGCAAUAUUCUUUGCGCCUUCAAAGAAAGGUCCAGGUGACUAUCCGCAUUAACAUUAGAUUGGACCGUAUUUAUUAACAAGCAAGGGAAGGAUGUAGCGAACGAUGUAGCGUUUACGUUUAGGCCCAGAAUCAGAAGAUCAAGAAGCUGCCGAGGGGGGUCUUGAAUAUUGAGCUGCGGGAAGGACUUGUAGAGUUGCUCAGCCUGCGAGACGGGUGUCGGAAGAGGAGCCCACGUAGCGGUGAAAGGGCUGUAGCCGUUGCUGCGGAUAGGUCUUCUUUUUUCAUUCUUAUCGUUUUAGUCAUCCAUCCGUAAGCAUGAGUCUGAGUCUAGAGGAAGAAGCCCCCAACGGAAUGAGCAACCGCGGAGUGGGCAUCGGGUAUCUAAGGAUGAUUUCUGAACAUAUGAAGUAAUUACCGGAUCGGGGACGGACGGACGCGCCUCCCACUAGAUCUCUUGGCUUUCAACUCCCAAUGUCUGACACUUCCUUUUUCCCGGAACAAACCGAAGAUGAAGAAGGGGUCUGGCUUCUUUCUAUCUCUUUUUUUGAUGAGACCUCUCCCGCUCCGUGGGCAUUGAACCGAAGGUGCAAAGAAUAUUGCGGCUAUUCUAAUAGAUGUUCGAUUGGGAAUCUUUGCUUUCUGCCUUCAUUGUAUUCUAUUCUUUUAUCGUUUUUCAAUGAAUUGAGAAUCCUUUGUUUGCGGUCUUUAUCGAUGCUAGUGCAAAUAUCGUCCUAUUGAGUGACUGCCUAAGAAAGAGAAGAUUCAGUUUGUGAUCCACUCAUUCAGAAGAAGCAUUCCAAACUAAUGAAAGAGGAAAGUCAACAUCGGGAAGUGGACGACCCAAAGCAGAGGCGACCCGCAGAGGCAAGGGCAUUCGAUCUUGAGGCCCACUACGCGCUUUCGGCUGGAUAAGUUCGUCUUGGUAAGCUGAAAGGCACUCGUCGGCAAAAAGCCUAAUCUUUCACUCUUCAUAUCACAUGGGAAAUACGUGGUCAAUCUCAAUCCGGGUUAAAUGCCUUACCCGAGGGGCACUACUGGAGAGCACUUUGGGCCGUAGAAGGUUUUUAUGAUUUACUUGACUAUUAAAAGAUUACUAUCUACGAAGGAGCAGUCUUCUUUCUCUUUGUCUUUCCGCCUCUUUCACACUUCUCCAACUCACUCUUUCUCCUCGGCCGGAACAACUACCGCCACUGCCUCCUUAUCAGCUGCAACUGCAAGGGCCCGCCCUAUCCUAAACAGUUCAUCCCAUAAGAGAGAUAGAUAGUAUUUCAGAGAACAAACUGGAUGACGUGGGAAAGGGUGGUUGAUCCCCUUUCCCCCUCUUGUGGCGUCAACGACCCUAUCUUAGUCUGCUUCGCUCCUCUGCUGGUAUCAACUAAAGGAGGAUUCGCCCUACAAUAUCCCUGUCUUAUGGAUCCUCAGACGAAAGAAAAAGACUACUUUCAGAAAAAAGGGUAGAUUCUUCAUUCAUGAAAGGCAUAUUUCAUUGCGCCUCCUUCGGUUCAAUUCCCACGCCAAAAAGAAAGGUCCAGAUGACUCUUCCUUGCCGUAGGGUCGACUUCAUCCAUUUUCUUUCUUAUACUUUUGAAGAAAAAUUCUCAUCAUAAUAAGUAAGGGCUUUGCCCUAACAACAGCAUCCCUUCUUCUUACUGGCUUUCUCUUUCUUUUCUCUACUAAGAGUAGGCGUUGGAAACGACACAUCCUAUCCUAGGAGAUUCAUACUCUCAUUCUGAUUCACGAAAGAAAGAAAGGGAAAGGGCACGAGAGCAGGAAGCAUCACAAAGAGAAAAGGUUCGACGCAAACAGAUAGGUUGUGGGACUAAUAUUCAAUCUCCUCCUUCUCCGACAUCCCUUUCACAAUCCCAGUCAAAUCGAAAGGCGGCCCCACGGAGCGGAAAGAGAUCUCAUGAUCUAUAAUGCAAGCAGAGAGCCACUUCUGAAACUGAAACUCCAAGAUCUAAUUCCCUGUUGUCUAACUCCAACUCAGCCGCAACUGAAAGACCCGUCUUAUUGAGGAAUUCCCCCUGAGAACAGUGACUCAUGAACUCCUAACCCGCUCGAGUGGCUUUUUAUUGGAUUGUUCCUGCGCUUUCUUUCUUCCUAUAUAGGCGGAUAACCUAUCCUACUAAGACUUCCGCCCCCUCUCCUUCUCGUGAUCGUACUUAUUCCUAUCUUAUGAAAUUACUUCAACUAUAUGAUACCCGCUCGUAAGUAAACUAAGUCAACUCCUUCGCGCCGAUACAGAAAGAGAGAAAAAAGACAAAAGAGAUGACUGAAGCUUAAGAGGUCUUUGCCCUCUCGUAAGAAGACUUGAGUGCCUUCGCCCCUUUCUAUCUCUUCCUAUUCUGAAACUCUUAUGAAUGUGAAUGCAAUACCUGAAUAAGAUUUGAGACUAGGGAAAGCCUGAAUGAGACUGGGCCGGGAGCUUGUAGGUCCAUUUGCUUAAGACAUGAGGAUUGUACAAAUAGACUCAGAUCUCGCCCAUGGAUUGUCUCACUCCGAUCAUUCUUUGAGCCUUUAUAUCCCGACUGAUUUAUGGAAUAUAGACUUUCCUUGGCCUUCCUCUUCUUCUUGAGUGAAUCGGAAAUUCUUCUUUCUUCUAGCCCUAUUUAUUUAUGGAUGUUCAUUGAGGCGGAGGACUCAUUCAUUGAUCUUUUUUUAUGGGUCUCACUAUCAUUCCCUGUCUAAGGAAACAUCGACUGCUUUUGUGACUCAUUCGGAGUUACUCUUUUUCUAGCUUCUUCGGAAACUGAGAUGGCGUCCGUCCUACUCUCUUCUUGCUUGAAUUCUGAAAGAAUGGUUGGUUGGUGACCGCUUCGAGAGAGAGAUGGAAUUUCUUACUCUUGAAGGUGCUCUACCCUUUUUUCCUUGUUGAGAUAUUCCACCAUUCUGAUGGUCCCCCGGCUCCUAAUUGAGUUCGAGAAGAUAGGAGAUGCAAAUUGUCCGAGGUUAAGCUGCUGAAAGACAAAGAAUUUCCUUUCAAAGAAUGAAUGAAAGGAAGACCUUACCGAGUGCCGUUGCAGGAUAAGUUCUUUGCAAGAAGGAGACCAACUGCCCGAACAAGUUCCAUAAAUCAGUCCUUCAAAGUAAUAGCUAUUAAGACUCAUUCCCCGUCACCUGUCCCCUUAUAAUUGUUCUUUGCGCCUUCGGUCUUAAGACUCCUUCAAAUUUCAGGCAAAGAAUAUUGCGUGGGAAUUGGAGUGCAGAGUGCAAAGAAGACGGAAAAGGAGAAGUGCAAGUUCAAUCAGACGAUCAUCCUCCUUCUCCGGGCUGGGUCGGAGCUAUCAAAAAGAAUAAGUAGGGCGCGGUCUGGGUAGAUAUAUGCUUUCCUCUAACCUCAGAAGCUCUAUUUAGGUCAAGCCUUAAAGUAGGAUCGACCGGAUUUGAAUGUUUUGAAUAGUCUAUCUAAAUCCUAAAAUCAGGCUAUUUCCUAAUAUGGAAUAUCUCGAACGAAAUAGGGCAGUGCCAUAAGACCUCUCCCUCGGAAACAGAUAAUUCCGCUAAGCCAGGAGAUUCCUCUCUUUCAAGGGAAGUAGACGCUCCAGUAGAGGCCAUACGUAGCCGAAAAAAGACAACGAGAGGAUCAUCAAGGAAAGACCUUUAUCUUCUAGUUCGCUCGGAAAGCUCUUUUUCUAAAUCAUGGUAGCGAGAUAUGUCAAUCAAAGUCAAUACAGAAAUCGGCUUAGGCCUUGUUGGUAUCGCGGUUGCAGGCUAGGCUGUGGCCCUUCAAGGUAAGUAGAAAAAGAGAAGAGACGGAUUCCGUUCUUAUUCAUUCGAUGCGGAAAGACUUGAACCCGUGACCCGCUCCAGGCCUCGCUCCCGAUUGAGGGGUUACCCAUUCGGUUGACUCUUAACGGAAUAACUCAUUUGGUUCAACUUCUAAUUCCAAGUCAGACUUCCCAAGAAGAUGACUCUUCGUCUUUCGCUUUCAGGUACCUUUCUUCUCGUGCAAGAUCUUACUCAUUAGUUAUUCAAUGGAGGAAUCAGGAGUCGAGCUACUUCCAACCAUAUCUACUUGGCCGACGACCAUCUGCUUUCGGGGCGGGUCUUUGACGGGUUUCCGGGGGAAUAAAAAGAAGGAAGUUUUCCAUGAAAUCAAAGUCAAUUGGGACAUAAGCCUUUUCAGGCGAUACUGAAAGAAGAAAUCCAGCUACUUAAGAAAGAAGAAAGGCAACCGCGUAGUGGGUCACACCAGCUCCCAAAUUAGCUGCUCUAUAUAAGAUAAAGAAUGCAAUUCUUCACUCACUUUAGUCACUCAUAAUAGACUGGGAGGAGAGGAAAGGUUCUAUCUAUCGGGAGAUAGUGCUUUCUAAGAAGAAUCUGGCUACUUAAGAAAGAAGAAAGGCAACCUACUAAGCAGGUCUCAGCGUAAACAGCGGGGAUGGUGCGUGCGCGCCCUCUACUAAGGCCCUGUCGAGGAACCUCAUUCUUCCUUUUUCUAGUCCUCUCAACUGAAGACGGAGGAUAUAGGGCCUUGUGAUUCAGCAGAGGUACGGAGUAGUGUGAGAGAAUCAAAGUUCCCCUCGAGCUAGCAUUAUCAUUCCUCUUGUCCUUGUGGAGGUAUGGAAUUGCGUGCCUGCCUUUGGGGUUGGGGCAUAGACCGAUCGGCGAAUGAGAGGUUCGUGAAUAUGGAUGAAUGAGUCAUCUGGACCUUUGUUUAUGACGCGCUUUCACUCUAAAUCAAGGGGAAAUACGUGUCAAUCGUUACUCGGAUAAAGCCAGGCUUUUUGCCUCAGUCUCAUUCAUGGAUGAAACCCCUAGAACUGCAGGUCGAAAGAAAAGAGAUGAAAGAAAGGCCUGUGAAAGGAACUCCUCAACCGCGUCAAGGAGUCUGACCUUGAUUCAGAGUUUCCUUCUACAGUCACUGAAAAACCGUGGGAAUAAUCAACCUACUAAAUACUAAAAGAAGAAAAAAAGCUUUGUAGAGAGAGAGGAGGGAGUGCAAAGAAGACGUAGAAGUCUGUAGCUUUCAGUUCCAUGAACGAGUCCAUUUUUCUGAUUUUCAAAGACUAUGUAAAAGAUUAAUAUCUGGUUUUUAGGAUUGAGAUCAAUUAUGAAUUUCUGAUUUACUUGACUAUGAAAAAGAUUAAUAUCGGAGGCUGAGUCCAAAUCAAGGGAUUUUGCAAGAAAAUGUCCUGCCACCUAACUAAGAAGUGGCUGAAAAGAGCUUCAAAGUGGGGGGCGAAAGCAAAGAACCAUGCUCUCCCCCAAGAGGGGUGUCGGAAGAGGAGUUAGGCAGGCCAUCCCAGAUCUUGUGUCCCAUCCCUUGCCCCAGUUCUUGUUGUUGACGCCCUUGUCGCAGCUCUUUCUUUCCUCGCCCACAGAGCGGUGUAGAAGGAGACCUCAUCUCUUUCCUAACGCCUUGCUUCUUUCUUCAUUUAUUGACUCCCAACGUGGACAAGGAACUCCUCUGACCCCUCUUUACGGAUUCAAACCGUCCUCCAUUUUCAAAGGAAGAAAGUCAACUUGACCUACUACAGAGGGACGCCUCAAGCGCGAAGAUAGCAAAGUAGGUCCGUCUUACAAGUCUUCUUAGAAGAUCUUUCACGAGAAAGUAUCGGCCCUCGAGAGCAAAGGUUUCGGAAUCUCCAUCUCUGGCUUCUGCGGUUCAUAAGUGGAAAUCUUUCUAUUGAAAUAGAAAAUAGAUGAAAAUCAAAGCUUUCCCGCUUAUAAAGCAGAAGCUAGACAUGGGACAAGAACGAUCGUGAAACCCACGGAUUCAAUCUUCUUUGAACCUUAUUUAUUGUCUGAAUUUGGUCUUAGUGUGACGUACGCUCGACCAUAAUGAAGCUUGAUAGGUUAGCGCCCAGCCGAAGGGUACUCUGAUCGGAACUAAAGUAGCGAGAAGUCUGACUCAAGGGAACUGAAAAAGCUCAAGCAAGAUCCAGUCGUAUGAAAAGAAUGGUACGAUCUCCUUCAUUAUAGAUCGAUAGGGAGAUCGUCAGGCUGUCGGCGAGCCUUAUAACGAGAUUCACUGGGAUUCUUCCAGUACAAAGAGUGAAAUGCCAGGCGAUAGGCCAGAUCUCUCAUUCGCCGAAGCAUGGAUUUCUCAUCCUAGCACAGGAGAAAUUUUCCACAACGACUGCAGGAACAGAGCCCUCAACGGGGACGGAGACAGCAGGCUAAACUUCCCUUGAUGGCAAGGACAGAUCCCGCUCUUGGUCUAAGAAUGAAAUAGCAUAAACUUCUCUUCCCGCUCCGUGGGCCUUCCCUAAUAGUCAUUCUUUGAGGUCCGUCCUAUUAACCUGUCCUCCGGACUGGUCUCGCUCCUUCACACCUCUCUUAUUGAGUUAAUUGGGUAUUUCCUCUAUAGUCAAUUAGGAAUCGGAAAUAGUGAGAUUCUAGCUUUCCAGACUGAUUCAGAUUGGAGUGACUCUCCGGCUUGCUCUGAGGCUGCCGAUCUACUCAACUGUGAGAUUUUCAAUGGGAAAGCGGGCAUAACCUGGUCCUUCUCCCCUAACCUAUGAUCAUUGUUCUAGCUGGUUCUCGGAAAUCUGACUCUGGUUCUUCCCUUUGCCCAGAAACUCCACCAGGAAGAGAGAAAGUCAAGAUCUCAUUCCGAUUCCUCUCUGGCUGCCCCUCUUUUCUGGGCCAAGGAUUAGGAAGGGAGUUCUAGUUCUUCCUAUUAAUAGGACAAUCAGUUCCUUUCCCGAUUGACUUCCGUAACCCUACUUAUUUGUUCUAGCUUGAGGCGGCCGGCCAAGGAACCUAUUCUAAGCGAAAGAGUCUUAUCUUGAUUUAUUUCAUAAUGCUAAAUGCUCCGAAUCUAGUAAUAUGGAUAAAUAAGGGUCAGGACGUCUUGAUGAUUUUCAAAGAAAGACAAGAGAGAAAGAAGAAAGACAAGUCCUUCUACGCGGCAAGGAAUGAAGGAGUCCUUUUUAUGAUAGUCAAAAACUAUGUAAAAGAUGUGAAUGAGAGGAGUUAUUUAGUGGAAUAAGACUCGUCCGGAGUCCGGAGUCCUACGUGCCAAAGAAAGGUCCAGGGUCCUACGUCCGCAGGGCCAAAGAAAGGUCCAGGGUCCGGAGGAUUUAUCCGUAGGACUAUCCAUUAGAAGCAGUCCGCAGGAUUUAUCCGGAGGACCAUCAAAGAAAGGUCCAGGUGAUUUAUCCGUAGGACCAUCCAUAUGGAAGGAAGUAGUCCGGAGUCCGGAGGAUUCUUAUCCGUAGGACUAUCCAUAUGGAAGUAGGACCAUCCGUAAUUAACCGAAGUAGGACCAUCCGUAAUUAACAGAAGUAGUCCGGAGUCCGGAGGAUUUAUCCGUAGGACCAUCCAUAUGGAGGGAAGUAGGACUAUCCAUUAGAAGGGCUGACUUUGGGCCUCCGUAGCUUAAUAUGGGACUAUGAACCAUAUUUUAGAUUAGAACUCCUCUUCUCAAUAUUCUUUCUCCGCAAUAUUCUUUGCUUUUCUCACGCAAGUCAAAUUCUCUAAUGGAUAGGCCUCCGCUAGGCUGAAUUCAAUAUUCUCAAAAGUCUUCCAGGAUAUAAUAGCUUUUUUUUGGAAUGGAAUACUCCUUUUUAGUGGACGCUACUUGAUUUGAUUAUGGGGGGAUGAGACUGAUUUAUCCAUAUUCAGUAAAUAGGAGCACGUAGAAGGCGCAAAGAAUUUGCGAAGAAGGACUAUCCAUAUUAACCCAGAGAAGAAUAUUGAAUCUACCUUUUCAAAAAGCUCCGAACGUUACACUCGCCACUAAAAUCAAAAAAGAAGGACUUUCUCAUUUCCGACUACUGAUUUUGAACUCGAAAGAAAGAGAGUGGUGCGGCGGACGAAGUGAAGGUAGGAUGAAGAGGAGUAUGAGUUCUUUGUUUAGAACUGGUGCGCAGUUCCCACGGGAAGGCUAAGCCUCACUCACCCUUUUUACGAGAAAGAGGGAGAAAGAGAGAGAUACUGUAAGUUGACUCUUCAUUCUCAUUCUUUGAAUUGACUUUUCUUCUUAGCUUUCUUAUCUCUUAUUAUAUUAUUAAUGAAGUAACUAUCAAUCGCCGUCUUCUUGUAUUAUCUUCUUAUUUCUUGAGAGGUGCGAAGAAAUCUCAAGUGGUUCGUAAGAAAGAGCCCCAUACCAUAAAAAAGGGGGGAUAAUAGGUAUCAGCCUCAGAGGUGACCUGCGCGACCUCUCUCAUUAGCCUCUCUUUCCGCUGCAGUCCUUCUUCGUCUUCGUCUUGCAGAAUUGUCCCAGACCAGUGCUUUAUCUAGCUUUAGUUGCUGGAUUUCUUGCUUAGUUUCGGGAAUAUGAGCUCGAUCCAGAGAUCCUUUUUUGAUGAAAGAUCUAAAGCAUAUUGAAAUAGAAAGGAUUGAUCAAAGGCGCUUUAGGAAAGAGCUUACCGAUCAAUGGACGAGGCGCGACUUCUCUUUCUGAAACAUAAGCAGCCUCUGCGAGAACUAUGGCUACAGCAGCAAAAGAAAGGGAUGCAAGAAGAGGUGGUCGAGCCUGAACUUCCCCAGGAGGGAGGGGCAAGGGAAAGAACUCCUCGCGCUAGGUCGAUUUGCGUGCGUGGAUCAUGUGCCAAUGCCCCAAGGUCCAUCUUCUGCUUGUCUAGCCUCUUCAGACUAAGUACCUUUCAAUCCGGCCGGUUGAAGCACGUGGAAAGUGUGCCCGGGCACUGUCAAAUCGAGUCUUUUCGCAAGAUGGGGAUGGCUCCGUCCUCCGCUUUCUUCCUUUCAUCUUUUCAUCAGAAAAUAUCCUCUUAUGAUACUCAAACUACAAUAUCCCUGUCUUAUAGAGCCUUGUUCAUUGAGGUCCUCUAGAACCUACUCAAAAAAGAAGGAAGAAUUUCAUGCUUUCCAUGCCAUGUCCUUUAACUUCCUUGAACUGCAUUCCCAUUAUUUUCUCAUCUGCACCCUUUAGUCCUAUAAAAAGAACUAAGAAGAAAGCGCAACUUCGAUUUUGAUGCCUUUCAUCCGCUACUUUCAUCCUAUAUAUUCCCACGGGGCGGUAAGAAUAGGGCUUUCUUUCUUUAUAAUAGCUUUUUUUGGAAUUCAAUAUUUCAGACUCGUCCUUUUUUUUUCGCAAUAUUCUUUGUGGUCCGAAGCCUGAAUUAUCGAAUAUUGCGUGGAAAGAAUAUCCUUUUUCUAUUGAUGACUCGCGGGCGCAGUUAAGGAAAAAUAGCAUUUAAUAAGGGCUCAAAGUAAAGACCAAAUACAACCUCUGCGGUCAGUCCUUCGGACCAGGUGCGCGAGUAAAUCAAAGAAAAGAUGCGCAUAUUGCUAUUUCCCCCUCCGCGGUGCCAUAAGACAGGUCCGAAGUCCUCGCAAUAUUCUUUGCGCCUGUCUGUCCUGAGGACGGGGAAUCUUGAGAGUUGCGUGAGUUGCGUGAGAAAGAAGACUGAUGCUUGAAGGAAAAGCUUGAAGUACAGCAGCCCGGAGCUAAGAUAAAGCGAGACAUCCAGAGGGUUCUCAGACGCGAGACAGAGCUUCAGGUUCUCAUACGACCUUAAUAUGGAUAAAAAUCAGUCCCACUAUUUCAAAAGAAAGGUCAAGAUGACAUUCUUGAUUUUUGCUAGUCGCAAUAAGACAGGUCCUCCUUCGGUUAAUUACGGAUAGUCCUACUUCUGUUAAUUACGGAUGGUCCUACGGAUAAAUCACCUGGACCUUUCUUUGGCCCUGCGGACUCCGGACUCCGGACUACUUCCAUAUGGAUAGUCCUCCGGAUAAAUCCUGCGGACUGCUUCGGUUAAUUACGGAUGGUCCUACGGAUAAAUCCUCCGGACUACUUCCAUAUGGAUAGUCCUACUUCCCUCCAUAUGGAUGGUCCUACGGAUAAAUCCUCCGGACGUAGGAUAAAUCCUGCGGACUCCGGACUCCGGACCCUGGACCUUUCUUUGGCACUCCGGACCUGUCUUAUGGCACCGCUACGUGGGUAGAAAGCCGAGUCUAUCUGCACCCGCGCCUGAUUUUUCUUCUUCGCGCCUUCGGACAGGUCUCGUCUUUGUUCAUUGAUUCUUCCUACCAAGAACAUCGAUCAGUCCCUAGGGUUAUAUUUCUUACUUGAUGAUGGAAGGCUUGAAGCCUCAUUACCUGGAGUUGACUCCCUUGAAGCUACUAUAGAUGCUUCCGUUGAAUCUUCUGAACCUGGGGUUUAUGGUAUUUCCCUUAUCCUUUUACUCGUAAGCUUUCCUUUCGCCCUAGGCGAAGGCUACGUGGCUUUCUUUCUUUGUGUCUAGUAAGACUGAAUAUGGACCUAAUGGAUAGUCCCCUUAUAAAAAACGCCACUUUUCUAGGGGCUCAAAGAAUUAUGCGAAGGUUCAGCUUCAUUCCUAUGAACUUUUCAUUGAUUGCACUCCUUCUAUAUAUUAUAUUCUUUGCACCUCUCCAUUUCAUGCUCCUCAAAUUCUGAUCGCCAUUCUCUUCUUUCCGUCGAGCUAUUUCAUAAACUCCGGACCUCCGCGGUUCUCAGGGAAGAAAGCCUACCUUCCUCCCGUAGAUCAGUCUAUGAGCCUUAUGGUUGGGGCCUUUGUCCUUAUGGUGGGAGUUUAGUUUGUCCCUGCUAGUUCAUCCCUCUCCUUAAUAAAGAAAGAAGAGGAUAUUCACAACAAAUAAAGAAAAGAGAGCAGCUAAUACGGCUAAGAAAGAAAGAAGAAGAUAGACUCAAGAUAUAAUAAUAAGAAAGCUAAUCGUCUCGGAAGAAAAGAUAUAAGGAGAAUUGCAUUUUGAUGCCUCUUUCUCUCUAACACACUUUCUCUUUGUCUUUGUCUUUGUUCUUUCAUGAGAGUACGAAAAGCAGAAGAAUGAUCAUUCAACUUACAGUCUUCUUUCUCUUUGUCUUUGUUCUUUCAUGAGAGAAGUUUCAAGAUCUUGCAUUCUCUUCUUAUUUGAUGUCGAUUCAUCCACACUUCCAUUCCUUGUAGAGGAAGGCUAACUGCUUGCUGGCUGGGAGCUGUAUGAGCGGUAACGUCCACGUACGGCUCUGUGAGAAGGGCGGUGGACAGAA
rnacentral:lncRNA from 1 species